rnacentral:piRNA from 1 species
UAUUUGCAUUAAUUAAAAUAG